AAACGCUGGCGGCCGCUCGUACCCUACCAGGCGCUCUGCCCCGCCGUGGGGUUUUGGGGGUGCUGUGGAGAAGGCAGGGCUCGGGACUCUUCCACCUCCUUGGCUGCUCUGGCCUUUGAGUUAUGCUCUAAGAUUAUCGAUUACUUUUCCGUUGUUGCUUAUUUCCCACAGCAGCAGAAUGAGAACGGUUAUUAGUUAAUAGCCAUCAGAGACAGACCAAGUGGAACACAGUCCUCGGAAAAACGCCACUCUGUAGCAUUAGUAAUUAAAACCUCACAAGGUUUGUAUUUCCUGAAGGAGGCCGUCAGUGUCAAUGCUGUACUAACGACGGUACUGUACGUAAGUUUCGGUACUGCCCCCACUUUCUUCUCCUUGACAUUGUAUUACUAAAAGCUGCAGCUACUCUCUACAGUUUUCUCAUUGGUUACUAAUGUCUGGAACAGCAGCUAGAUUAUGCAGUAAGCUCUUGGUAUGUAUUAGCUAUUAUAUAAUAAUUUAUUUGAAUAGAGUAGAACUAAAAAUUUGAAAUGAGUUAAAACCAAAGAGUUAAAAGAUUUAUGGUAGUAAAUAUUCAUACUGUUUUGUUGAUUUGGACAGUUGUCUUGAACAGCUUUGAAAGGGAACAUAUGACAGGUUUCGUUUAUAAUUUUAAUUGAUGCUGAACUCCACUAACAUGAUAUGUGCAGCUGGUGUUACAUUAUAACUGAGUUUUUUAAUUACCCAGUGAAGAAAUUCAAGAUGUCAUGCUCUUGUUUUUCUCCAGAGUGAACCACAAAGUCUGAAAAACUGUUGUUGACGGUAUGCCUAUUAAUAACACUGUAGAUGUUUAUAUUCUGAGGUUUUCCACAUAUUAAAAGCUUCUAUCAGCUCUUCAUACCCUAUCAUCUUUCCUUAAUUUGUCUCAACUAUGUUAAAUGGGACACAAUAUAUUAAUGUGAUAAACCAAAUGAAUAUUUUGAAAAUAAGUCUAAGGGAAGCUAACAUGCACGAAGACUAUCAACUACUGUUUUUACUACUCUAUAUGCUAAUAAUACCAGAGUAAAUGUCACAUUCCAUUCACGUCUGAAAACUUUCUUUCUCAGUUAACACUCCAACAAAAACUCAGCUCUAAAAACAACAAAUGUGUUAUUAAAUUCCUGGGCCCCCUUGGCGAUAAUAAAUCUUUCUCUGGUAUUCUGCUGAAGAAAAUUACCCUGUAUCCACGAGAUCCAAUAUUAUCCUGCUCAGUUAGUUGGCUAAAAAAAGGGGAGAAGGGGGGAUUGGAGAGCAAAAGCAAUAGGUGACAUUUGUAGAGCAAUUACUCUGUGCUAGGCACUGUUCCAAGGGCUUAGCAUUUGUUAACUCAUUUAAUCCUCACAGCAAACUAUGAGGUGGUUAAUGUGGUUAUUUAUCUUCAUUUUACAGAUGUAUGUCCAAGAUUAUAGAGCUAGUAAGUAGUGGACCCACUGUAGAACAGAAGCCAGAGUCAGCCUCCAGUGGCUGACUUUCAGCCACCAUGGUCUAUUGCUUGUGUAAACAGACAUGCAAAUUCAUAAAUGCAUCUCCAGUUUAUCUAUUCAAAUCAGAACCCACAACACUCAUUUUGAAUAAAUUUUACUGCAGCAACUCUGCCUGCUGACAUCAGUAGAACCCAUGUUUGCCCUCCUCAGGCAUCAAUAAACAGCAACAGAAAAGGGAUGCAUAUAAUUUCAUAUAGAAGCUGCUAUUUAUAUUGCUUUGCAGGAAUUAACAAAGCUGCCACUUGAGGUAGAGGAAAGACAGAUUCAUUUCAAGCUCUGUUCCUUGUGUAUAUAUGUGGGUGGGUGGGUGGGUAUACAUGCCCACAGGCACGUAUGUAUUCAGUUUCUACUGUUGACACCUUGUAUUUCUUGCUCAUGGUAUUUUGCACCCUUGAAUUCAUUUAUUUGAUAAACUGUGAUAACUUGCUGACCGUUUAUCUUCCCCUCCAGGCUUUAAA
rnacentral:lncRNA from 10 species